UUUUUCACCUUUGUUCUUACUGGCUAUAACAACCUAACCAGUUAGCAAUAAUAACUCGUUGGGCCAAAAACCACCAACCCAAAAUUCUUAAACCCAGUUAUUAUUACUAAAGUGGAGUCCUCUAAUAUAACCAAUGAUAAGCCCAUUCCUAUCCGAUGUGGGUGUGAUGCCCCAACUUUCCAAGAUGUCACCUAUCCUAAAACUACUCCCGUCCUAGCGUACUUAACUCUUUUAACCUCUUGGGUCUAGCCACCACCCAAAAUUCUUAUGCUGGGUUAAGAGUUUUAGCCCUAUUAUAUCUUAGGGAUAAUUGCCUAUAUACCUCUCAAAACUUCGGAAAUAUCUCAUUUACCCAUACUUUUUUUUCUUUCCAAUAUACCCCUCAUAUGUUUCUCUGUUAUUCCAAAAUACCCCUACUGUUACCACCUGUUAAGUUAACUUGGGUUAAACAUGAGUUAAAUAUCUAUGACAGUUAAGAAAAUUAAAAUAUCAAUUUUACCCUUAACUUAAGGGCAAAUAAGAAAUGUUGGUGACGAUAGAAGGGUAUAUUUGAAAAAACCAAAAGUCAUAAUACUUUUUGUGCCCCUGACUUAAGGGCAAAUAAGAAAAGUCGGUGAUGGUGGAAGGGUAUAUUUGAAAGGGCAAAAUAGUAAUUUUAUACAGAUAAUAGAGUUCAUUAACAGAUUUUAACUCUAUGGGUAUAUUUGAAAUAGGUUGGAACGUAAAAAGGGUUUUUUCACUAUUAGCCUUCUAAGAGAGGUAAAUCAUAAAGUCGGAAACUUUUUAGGGGUAUAUAAGCAAUUGCCCCUAUAUCUUAUAUAUAGGACUAUCUGGGAUCUCACAGUGGGACUAUUGGGGUGUCAUAGACUAGCUCCCCCCCAUUUAGGUCCUGACGUCCUCGUUAGUCCUAAACACACACAGCCCAAGAUAACCAAGCGAUGUGAGAGUUGUCUCGCUAGCCUUGUCAUUCCGACAUUGACUUAGCCUGUUAUCAACCGAUCCUAGCGUAGUCUGUCAUUUCGACUCUAGCUCAGUUAAAACUCAUCUCAUGCUUCCGGUCGGUGAAUUGGUUCUGAUACCAAAUGUAACAACCCGACCAGCUAGUAAUAAUGACUCGUUGGGCCAAAAACCACAACCGCAAAAUACUUAAGCUCAAUUAUUAUUACUAAGGUGGAGUCCUCUUAGAUACAAUCUUGUGAACUAUCAGAACUUGGCUAAUCCUGAUAGUGGAACUA
rnacentral:lncRNA from 1 species